rnacentral:pre_miRNA from 1 species
CUACUACUCCCUCCGUCCGAAAAUACUUGUCAUUGAAAUGGAUGUAUCUAAAUCUAUUUUAGUUCUAGACACAUCCAUUUUGAUGACAAGUAAUUCCGGACGGAGGGAGUAUUAU